ensembl:lncRNA
UCUUCUGGCUUACAGACAGUACCAGUGGGCAACAGAGCUGAGGAAGAAUGUGUAAGAAGAGAAGAGAUGGGGGUAAAAGCAGGAUGAAUUCCAUUUCUUGGUAGUGGUGAGCUUUUAGUUUACUGUAUCUCAGGCCACGGACAGUUGGGAUAUGUAAAGACAAUGUGUAUUCCAAAAGCAUGAUCUCUUUUGGUGGAAACAAAAAUCAUGACAAAUGGGAGUCAACUGUGAGACUGUGUGUAUCCUGACGGCAGCAUGCUGGGUGGAGAACAGGCUUCUUGGAACUGACUGAAGUAUGAGGAUCCAAGGAGCUCCUGCGCCCUGCAGAGAUUUCCUGAAGGACUGCAAAUGAGGGGGUGCAGCAGAAAGAAUUGCAGAUGUUAGGAUGCAUCUCCUAUAAUACUACAUGAAGUACAUAGCAUCGUUUGAAAACAAAACAAAACAUAAUUACAGCUUUUGUGUUUUCUGUGCCACGCUUGGAUAAAAUUCACUGGCAAGACCCUCUGCUUUCUGGAACACUUUGGUGCAAAGGACUGAAGGUGUUAAAGCGGCAUCAGAGUGACUCACAGGAUCUGGGUGAUACAGCACACCUGGGGAAGUUCCAUGGUACUGGAAGUGCUGCAGAAGCUGUGGGGAAGAUCACCACGCGCCUGGCAGCGGGGAGGCCAGCGGUGCUCCUACACCUGGCACAACCAGGCAGAUGCUUUGGACAGGAUGCUUCCUUCUCCCCAGAUGUCUCUUGGGCUGCUGGUGGGCUGCGAUCCCUUUUGCAAGAGACAACCACGAGCUGGUGGACAGGGCUCAGACAUAGUUCCUACCACAGCAGCUGCUGCUUGAGCUGGCCACCAGCAAAGGAUGUGCUGAGAGCUUCCACACACACCAAAAAAGCUAGACACUUCCAUUCUGUGCAGUUCAUCUUGUGCCAAACCAGAGGAAUGAAGGGAAAUUUUAAUGCAUAUGCCAAAACACAUUAAGUCCACAAUUCUGCAUGACACCCUUCCGCCACAAUGUGUUUGUAAACUGUUUCCAGAUUACAAACAGAGCUGCUUAAUGGUGUUCAUUAAUUGUUUAGUCUAAGGAGUUGGGGGUCUGGGCACAGAGUUUGGCAGAAUUCAGCAAGCUGAAUUCAGGGUGCAAACCCAGAAAUUCCCUGUCACGCUGUCCACAUCUGGAACAGGCUGUGCUCCCCCCCAGCUGCAUUGCCAGGAGAGCCCAGGUACAGGUCUGCCCACCUAUCUGCUUUCCCUCGGCCAAUAUGCCCCAUCUUGCCCUGUUAGCUGUGGCCUGAACAAUUUUGCUGGAGUCUUGU